rnacentral:rRNA from 1 species
UACGUAGGGGGCAAGCGUUGUCCGGAAUUAUUGGGCGUAAAGAGCGUGUAGGCGGCCAGAUAAGUCCGCUGUGAAAUCUCGAGGCUCAACUUCGAGCUGUCGGUGGAAACUAUCUGGCUAGAGUCCGGAAGAGGAGAAUGGAAUUCCUGGUGUAGCGGUGAAAUGCGCAGAUAUCAGGAGGAACACCGAUUGCGAAGGCAGCUCGCUGGGACGUCACUGACGCUGAGACGCGAAAGCGUGGGGAGCAAACAGG